UCAGAGAAUGGGUGGAGGACUUGGUCAACUCAGUGCUGCCUCUUAAGCCGAGGGAAAGGAGAGAGAAAACUUCAUCGGAAAAUAAGAAGCAAACCCAAGAGUUAAAAGCAAGAGGGCUUGAGAAGAGAGAAGAAUCAGUGAAAUAAUCUCUUGACUGGAAGGGUAUUGCUGCCAGGUGAGGACUCCACCACCCCAUACUCGGGCAGUUGUGGCAGUUUUCUGCUGAAGAGGAGCUGUUGGAGGACAGGAAGAUGGUCUGCAGCAUUGUGUCUCCCACCCAACCUGGCACAGCCUUUGGCAG
rnacentral:lncRNA from 10 species